UCAAACGUUGUUGUUGCAUCGCUAAGUUACAAACAUAAUCAUAAGAACAUUGAUAUGAUAUUAAGAGAGCAGAUUAUUAUUGCUUCAUUUCGAGUCCCUUAUUCACGAGUACGUAUACUUGCAUUGCAGCUGCGUUCCUUUUCCCUGGCAGAGCAAAAAAAUCAUGAGAGAAGCGUGAGAAGAAAAAAGAGAAAGAUUAUAACCUUUGGCUCAACCUCAAGGGCAGCACUGAGAAAGGAGUGUUUUCACCAAGGUAACGUUGCAAGCGCAAAUGGGCAAGGGACUGCAGCACUGAGUGAUUUUGGUUGGAUCGCCCAAAGCAUUGAUGAUGCAAGUCAAAAUGGCCUGGAGAUUGGGUAGGGAGCACUGCUGCGCACGAGCAAGUGUCGCAACCAUGGCGAGCACCAGGAGCAUAAGCAGCACGGACCUUGCAAAAGCCAUGGAUGGGAAUCAAGAGAGGAUAAGAGAAGAUGAU
rnacentral:lncRNA from 1 species